rnacentral:rRNA from 1 species
AGUGAACGCUGGCGGCAGGCCUACCACAUGCAAGUCGAACGGCAGCACAGAGGAGCUUGCUCCUUGGGUGGCGAGCGGCAGACGGGUGAGUAACGCGUGGGAAUCUUCCUAUCGGUACGGAAUAGCUCAGGGAAACUUGGGGUAAUACCGCAUACGCCCUUCGGGGGAAAGAUUUAUCGCCGAUAGAUGAGCCUAGGUCG